AUUGAACGCUGGCGGCAGGCCUAACACAUGCAGGUCGAGCGGAUGACGGGAGCUUGCUCCUUGAUUCAGCGGCGGACGGGUGAGUAAUGCCUAGGAAUCUGCCUGGUAGUGGGGGACAACGUUUCGAAAGGAACGCUAAUACCGCAUACGUCCUACGGGAGAAAGCAGGGGACCUUCGGGCCUUGCGCUAUCAGAUGAGCCUAGGUCGGAUUAGCUUGUUGGUGAGGUAAUGGCUCACAAGGCGACGAUCCGUAACUGGUCUGAGAGGAUGAUCAGUCAAACUGGAACUGAGACACGGUCCAGACGCCUACGGGAGGCAGCAGUGGGGAAUAUUGGACAAUGGGCGAAAGCCUGAUCCAGCCAUGCCGCGUGUGUGAAGAAGGUCUUCGGAUUGUAAAGCACUUUAAGUUGGGAGGAAGGGUUGUAGAUUAAUACUCUGCAAUUUUGACGUUACCGACAGAAUAAGCACCGGCUAACUCUGUGCCAGCCGCCGCAGUAA
rnacentral:rRNA from 1 species